rnacentral:lncRNA from 1 species
AUGGGACGUUGGUUUUUACAAGCCACCGUGAGCAGACAGAAACCUGCACAUCUUCGUGGUCUGAAGCCGUUCCACCUCCAGUUUCAGCUCCCAGACACGAAACAGAGCCCACGCGGGCACACCUGCGCGCCAGACACAACCCCACAGCCCUACAGCCAUCCGGGCCCUUCGCACCUUUCCUCCCCUUCAAAGCACUUCGCGCUUCCACGUUUUAAGGGCACAAAGAGAUCGCUAACUUCCACGGCAGUGGCCAUCCUCGGAGGUCACAGCAGCAGCCUAGAGGCUGCACAUGGGACAUCUCUGAUCAGCCCUCGAGUCAGCAGGCACCGAGCAGAAACCCCAGCCCCGGUGUGCUUGUCAGACUGUUUCAGGAGCAGCUGCCCUGAGCGGGAGGAGAAAAAGGCUUGCCCUGAUUCCCCGCAGAACGCCUUUUUCCGUGCUUUUCCACACGUCACGGCUGCAGGAGCCUUGCAUCACAGCCCAGCCACCUCGUGGCCCUUCUGCUCUCGGAAGGCCCCCGAGCAUCCCCUUCUCCAGGCAGCAGAGGACAGGCGGCAGGUCUGUCCUGCUCCUCCUGGCUGCGACAGCCUCUGGCAAGACUUCGCCACGUCAACCGACUGGCUAUGGGGCUCCUCCACGCGUACUUCCUCCUCUUCCCCUCUCCUCCGAGGGGUGACCUUAGCAGAAAGCGCUCCACAGCAGGCCGCAAGCGGAGCGGAGCACGUCCGCCUGCACUGCCGCCCGCACCGCCCCGGCAGAUGCUGGAGCCAGCACCCACCCUACUCACUCCCUUUUGUGCCUGUUUGCGGGGCCCCUGCGAGGGUCAGGGAGCUGCCCCCAGAAGGGACGCACAGAAAACCACGGGCUUCUUCCUCAGAAGAAGCCCAGCCCAGAAAGAAAGACAAGCUGCGCCUCUGCCCGCUCUGCGCUGCUCCAGGGAAAGAAUAUGCAAUCACACCCCGUUUGUCACGCUUGGAAGCGAAUCAGACAGACAGGGCUCCACUCCACUUGUUCCCUCGUUUUGUUAAACAAGAGGGAAGGCCGCAGCACGUCUCCUCGCCAAAGAAAGCGGCAAACAGUUUCUCAAGAUGA